rnacentral:rRNA from 1 species
AGCAGCCGCGGUAAUUCCAGCUCCAAUAGCGUAUAUUAAAGUUGUUGCAGUUAAAAAGCUCGUAGUUGAAUUUCGGGGUUAGUAGGUUGGUCAUGCCUCUGGUAUGUACUGGUCUCACUGAUUCCUCCUUCCUGAUGAACCUUAAUGCCAUUUAUUUGGUGUUUUGGGGAAUUUGGACUGUUACUUUGAAAAAAUUAGAGUGUUUAAAGCAAGCUAACGCUUGAAUACAUUAGCAUGGAAUAAUGAAAUAGGACGUUCGAUCCUAUUUUGUUGGUUUCUAGGAUUGACGUAAUGAUUAAUAGGGAUAGUUGGGGGCAUUAGUAUUCAAUUGUCAGAGGUGAAAUUCUUGGAUUUAUUGAAGACUAACUACUGCGAAAGCAUUUGCCAAGGAUGUUUUCAUUAAUCAAGAACGAAAGUUAGGGGAUCGAAGACGAUCAGAUACCGUCGUAGUCUUAACCAUAAACUAUGCCGACUAGGGAUCGGAUGAUGUUAAUUUUAAUGACUCAUUCGGCGCCUUACG